rnacentral:rRNA from 1 species
ACGCUCGACACCUACGGAGGCAGCAGUGGGGAAUAUUGCACAAUGGGGGAAACCCUGAUGCAGCGACGCCGCGUGAGCGAAGAAGUAUUUCGGUAUGUAAAGCUCUAUCAGCAGGGAAGAAACUGACGGUACCUGACUAAGAAGCACCGGCUAAAUACGUGGCAGCAGCCGCGGUAAUCUGAGCGGGCUGGCAAGGC